UACGAAGGGGGCGAGCGUUGUUCGGAAUUACUGGGCGUAAAGGGCGCGUAGGCGGCUAUCCUAGUCAGAUGUGAAAGUCCUGGGCUUAACCUGGGGACUGCAUUUGAUACUGGAUUGCUUGAAUUCGGGAGAGGAUAGCGGAAUUCCCAGUGUAGAGGUGAAAUUCGUAGAUAUUGGGAAGAACACCGGUGGCGAAGGCGGCUAUCUGGACCGACAUUGACGCUGAGGCGCGAAAGCGUGGGGAGCAAACAGG
rnacentral:rRNA from 1 species